AUUUGAAUGAAUCUCUUGUGAUUAUGUCUGAUCAGAUCUAUUCCAACUUUAUUUGGAUGAAUUUUCUUCGACUGUAUUUUGUGUGAUUCUGUCUGAGCUCGGUUCUUGUCGGUGGGACUCUUGUCAGGGUGCCCGUCAGAGGUGUGGGCGGAUCUGGGGGGCAUUGUGGGAAACCUCCUGUGGUGCCCCCCUCACAGUGAAGCUCCGCUCUGUCAGAAGGUGAACAGGAUGCAGACGGCAUGUCACAGAGAAGCAACAUGUGCGUCUGUAUCCCACCCUGGACCCACAGUGGAGUCCACAGUGACAAGAUCACAGUUCAGGAGAGUCACACUGGGAUUAAAAGGGGUGGUUAAAUGUGUUAUUUAAGAUAGUAAGUGUAGUGUGAGGGUGAAAGUCUCGCUGCCAGAGGGAAGUUUCCAGGAGAGGUACGUAAGGAUCCCUGUGAAUGCUGCUGCAUGAAACGGUGAGUUUUGGAUUUUGACUUUGCAUUCAUAUAUCUAAUAUUUUUGAAAUCUCAACAAUAACACACGUCGACAAGAUUCUGCCGCGUUUUUCUUUUUGAUUUCUUUCAGACUGAUGAUCUCGGGACCCAAGACCAAGACAAGGACGACCCCAAAGACGAUUUGAAGACGAGUGACCGAGCCCCAACAGAGAUGAAGCCAGAGACGACGACCGCCCUGUGAGGAGAAGAAACUUUAUUGAGAUUUUACCGGAUGCACUGAAUUGGUGCUUCAACGACAUCAAGCAGAUUCAGACAGGAUGGACCAGAGAUGACGGGAGGCAGAUCCAGGACCAGUGCAUGACUCGUGAGACCAUGCAAUUAACACAAGAGCCAUCUCUCCAAGACCCCCGAUCUUAUGAAAGAUCAGAUCAAUAACCAAAUGAAAAGGUUUCUCUGGAUCUGGAGCUGCAUGUUUCUGAUCUGCUGUUGUCGGCCUCAGCGACCUCCAAAGUCUUCAUGUUCUCUCCUUCCUCUCUACCCUCAACCCAACCAGAAGGUUUUUAAAACUUCCCAACAACAGGAAGUUUUUUUCCUUCAC